rnacentral:tRNA from 1 species
GGAGCGGUAGUUCAGUUGGUUAGAAUACCAGCCUGUCACGCCGGGGGUCGCGGGUUCGAGUCCCGUCCGCUCCGCCA